UACGUAGGGGGCAAGCGUUGUCCGGAAUCAUUGGGCGUAAAGAGCGCGUAGGCGGCCCAGUAAGUCCGCUCUGAAAGUCAGGGGCUCAACCCCUGAAUGCGGGUGGAUACUGCUGGGCUAGAGUCCGGAAGAGGCGAGUGGAAUUCCUGGUGUAGCGGUGAAAUGCGUAGAUAUUAGGAAGAACACCAGUGGCGAAGGCGGCUCACUGGUCCGGUACUGACGCUGAGGUGCGAAAGCGUGGGGAGCAAACAGG
rnacentral:rRNA from 1 species